UUACAUAGAGUACUAAUUUGAUUAAGGAAAAAUCAUGUUCAUUCAUAAUUUUCAUUUUAAAAGUGUAUUGAUUCCUUCUGCAAAUCCAUACUGUCAUGCCUAUUACCCAAUAUCGUCAACGCGGAUAGUUCGUUAGUCGAAAAUACUGAAUAAUUAAACAAACCAAAUGGCAUCACUGGUGGUUCUUUUUUCCACUCCGCUAAACUGUCAUCUCAAACAAAAACAAAUGGAUCAUACAACUGCUAUGAAUACAUUCGACUCGUUUGCUUCCAUCAAUCGGUAAGUGAGAAAGAUGAUUUCUCCCAUCAGUGCGGAUUUCCACUUCUAUCACAGCAGCCAACAACAUCCGUUUUCCUGCAGCAGUAACCUUCAACCCCUGUUGGCAAUGCCGGGGGACAGCAUCAACAGCAGCAGCAGCAGAAUUUGACCAUGGUAUGGUAUUGCGAAGAACUUUCCCCAUUAGAGGUUCCGUGCUUCGCGCACAUUCAAAAUCCUCUUCAGACACGAAAACUCAACGACAAGGAGGUAUUUAUCAACUUGCUCAGCUGAAUUACCACCCGGAGGAACCCGAAUGCACUGAUUCCGUUGUAUAGUAGAAUGAAAAUAGGCGAGGUAAGCGAACGUAAUCGCAUGAUAUUUUAAUAGUUCGCAUUUUUAUCCGGAUCAUACAACUGCUAUGAAUACAUCCGACUCAAUCAAUCGGCGAGUGAGAAAGAUGAUUUCCCUCAUCACCACAUUGCUUAUUUCCACUUCUGUCACGCCAGCCAACAGCAUCAGCUUUCCCGCAGCAGGACCUGGCCAUCGAUAGUAUUUCGAGCAAUUUUCCCCAUCGGAGAUCCCGUGCUUCACGCACAUUGAAGAAACCUCCUCAGCCACAUAUGUGUGUCAAGGAGAAAAAGGAGCUGGAUUCGAAUCGUCAAUCCAGACAACCCGAAUGCACCGAUUGCAUUAUAUAUCUUGUUUAUAUUUUAUAUGCAUUUUGUGUUUUUUUGAAUAAAAUGAUUAAAAUCGA